CCUCGCGAGAGGGGAGUUUCCGGCUAACGGGACCGUAGUCACGCAUUAUCAUCCUUAUGGCGAAGAUAGAAUCGCGUCAAGUCGCUAAAGAGGAAGAGGCCACUGCAAGUGGCCGAGCCGGCAUCCUUGAAACGCACUUUGAGCGCGCAGGAUGAUCUUUCUCUCUCUUUCCCUCUCGAGUCCAGUGAGUGUCAUGUCGGCAUUUGUCGGCUAUAUCUUGUCGAAAAGAAUUGUGUACGAAACUGUGAAAUUGUGGUGUGUAUGUGUGUUUGAGCGUGUGCGCGCACGUGUGUUAACACAUUGGUCGGUAUCUUAAAAAUUAAACGUACAUCGGGCAGAAUAACAAUAGCAGCGAAUCAAUGUGUCAUCUGAUUAUCGCCCGGAACUUUAAGCGUAAGAUCUCGUUAACUUGAUCAAUUUUCUGCAUUUUUUGAGCGAGCGUAAUGGAAGGAAGUGUAACGAGUUACGCGCGCCAAAUGAUUCUCAAGCAGUUACCGGAUAUCGCUGACACCGAUAUCUGAUCGUGCACUUUCUCUUGCGGCCUCUUCUCUUUCUCUCUCUCUCUCUCUCUCCGUUGAUCUUUAACACCCCGAUAUAAAUUGAUUUCGAUUUUGCACAAGAGUGAUUUCGGCGUAACACGGUUAAGGUAAUCUCUCGAGUCGCAAUCGCAUCGACAAGUUCGUCGCGAACCUCGAAGCGGACGAUGGAUUUGCAAGAAAGUUAACGAGACCAUCCUGACGCAACAUUAAAUACAAACACGAUAAAAGAUAAUUUGUUAAUAUUAAUCCCACGGGGAACACAAUCGAUAAGCACGAGCAAGCAGGGGGCCAAAACGCAGCAAAAGGUCGACAAGAGAGCCGCGACCAGAUGGAUAUGAAAUAAAUAGCACUGCCAUCCGUUCCACGAGAAAGUAUUUUCUGGUUUAUCAGCAUAUUGCUCACCUGCCUGACUGGCUAAUUAAUUUACAAUUGAAUCGACAAAUGCACGUUGCAUCACGUUUAUGGAUCGAUCAUUCGGAUUUAUACUUGUCCGAUAAACGCAACGAUUAAGCGACCGGCUCUUGAAAAAAGCGAACCUGUCCUGAUAAAUUUUUCAAGUGACGACAGAUGAGUGUGAAUGAGAUGGCAAUAUCGAUGUUGUGUCGUAAUGUCACAAGAAAGUAUCUCCCAGCUUGCCAGGGCACAAUUUCUUUUGCAUUUGUUCUGCGAAUAUCGUGCAUAUCUUGUUUUGUUUUUAACACGACUUCUAUAAUAGUUGCAGCGAGAUGAAGACCAUGGUGAAUAAUGCGCACAUAUGUGUGAGCCUCGUAUGCGUCGCAGCUUUCAUCCUCGUGAAUGUAGCGUGGCUGUUACACAUAUAUUUUCCUCCUCAUUGCAUCAAACGACCGACAUCGUUUUCCUCUUCCGAACACGAAGACUCGCCGUCUGAUGCAGAUCCUCCCUCUGGAGAACUUUCCUCGUCGAGUAUGCAACAGGUUUUAAUGGGUAAUGGACAUUGCGUCCGAAGAUCAUCCUCCUGUCGCGAUCGCAUCGCGUCUGAAUCCGUUACGUCAUGUUUACUUCUUUACAUAUGCGCGGCGGCGUUCCUGGCUUCGCAUAUCGUAAAACAACUCGCACGCGGCGUCGAAGAGCUUCGAUGGCUUCUCCUCCAAGUGUCACUGUCAACGCGCGAGAGACGUCGUGUGUGCAGUAUAUGCGUGUGCCGUAAAUUGCGAUACAGGCAGACCAGUAACGAAGCUGUUCUCGCCGAUCGUAUCGUGCGAUUCGUCAUGGAGCACAUGGAAACGAGACUGCUGCCCAAUCACGCCGCUAAAAUUCGCGAUGUGUGGACGAUUAUGGUAAAAACAAUCUCUGUCGAUCCUUCGUGAGGAAUUUCUCCUGUAAGAUCCACGAUUCCAAUGGAAUAGAGAGGAGUCGGCGGGUUCAGUUCGUUCAGAGGCAUGAGUGGAUAGCCCUAUCGGCCAGAGUGCUGACGAAACAGAAGUUGCCGGCAUCCUACGUGAUCGUCUGCCAAACCUCCACGCAUGAUUGUUCCUCGUUCACCGAGUGCUCCUUCAAAGUGAGAUUUCUUCAGACGUUCUGCAUGUGGAACCAAGGAUCGGAGAACAUCAUCUAUUUCCUCAUCGGCAAUGAUGGUCACGUUUACGUCGGCAGGGGUUGAUAUAGAGUCGGUGGACGUACUUCCGGCUAUGAUGCCCGGAAUGUUGGCGUUUCCUUCAUCAGUACCUUCCACAAAACGUCGAAGGCGCAAUUGACUGCGCCGCGAGCCCUGAUGGAAAACGGCGUCGAGCUCGGCAAACUCUCGGCCGACUACAAACUAUUAGCAAAGCGACAGAUUGAAAAUUAUGGUAGCGAAACUCCCAACCUUGAGGACGCUUUAUACGAUGUUGUUAAGACGUUGCCGCAUUGGUCGCCCGUUCCUUGACAACGCGAAUAAUUCAGUGCACGAGGGACCGCGAGAGCUGAAGGAGAAAGACGUCUCGAACGCGACAGUAAGAUUCCGAUGAUGUCGAGAUAUCGAUUUACACUUAUCUAAACUGCAGCUCUCGUUCUCUCCUUCUUAGGACACCGUUCGAAUUAUGAGGUUAUCUUCGCAUUAUCUCGCCGGUACUUGACUCGCGAUACUACACGAAGCAGCCACGUUGCGCCUUGAUAAAACCUUUCUCGCGAAUACGUAUGGGUCGAUGGAUGCUCGCAUGGUGUACGAAUAGAGGGAUACGAACACAUUAAUAAGAACGUUUCUCACGUGCGAUUAUUGCGAGUGAGAACGCGACUGCCGCUUAUGAGAUUUCCGCGAGUACGCCGCGGCGCGUUUCUCAAUAGCGAUCCGUCAAUCAAUAGCGCGCGGCAACGUGUCGCGCGCUAUUGCCAGAAACAAAUAGCUCGUAUGUUUAUCGACGACGAGCGCGCGGCUCCAUAUGCAUGCGACGCGGUUGCUUAAGUAAGGAAUGACAGACUCACUGCCAAUUAUUCGAUGGCUUCAAGGAUACUACGUUUGAGCUGUGUGCCUCCGCUCGCGAGGAGGCACAAUGGAAGUGCUCCGGCUGGAACGGAUGAUGGCUCUUUGUAUCAGCGCUCUCCACCCUUCGUAAUGCAUUCCGACAUGACUUUGCGGCAGAAUCGAGAACCAUUUGUAAAUAUUAAAUCAUUAUUCGCGGAAUAAAGGCGCAGUGAGUUGAGA